AGAGUUUGAUCAUGGCUCAGAUUGAACGCUGGCGGCAGGCCUAACACAUGCAAGUCGAACGGUAACAGGAAGCAGCUUGCUGCUUUGCUGACGAGUGGCGGACGGGUGAGUAAUGUCUGGGAAACUGCCUGAUGGAGGGGGAUAACUACUGGAAACGGUGGCUAAUACCGCAUAACGUCGCAAGACCAAAGAGGGGGACCUUCGGGCCUCUUGCCAUCAGAUGUGCCCAGAUGGGAUUAGCUUGUUGGUGAGGUAACGGCUCACCAAGGCGACGAUCCCUAGCUGGUCUGAGAGGAUGACCAGCCACACUGGAACUGAGACACGGUCCAGACUCCUACGGGAGGCAGCAGUGGGGAAUAUUGCACAAUGGGCGCAAGCCUGAUGCAGCCAUGCCGCGUGUAUGAAGAAGGCCUUCGGGUUGUAAAGUACUUUCAGCGGGGAGGAAGGUGUUGUGGUUAAUAACCGCAGCAAUUGACGUUACCCGCAGAAGAAGCACCGGCUAACUCCGUGCCAGCAGCCGCGGUAAUACGGAGGGUGCAAGCGUUAAUCGGAAUUACUGGGCGUAAAGCGCACGCAGGCGGUCUGUCAAGUCGGAUGUGAAAUCCCCGGGCUCAACCUGGGAACUGCAUUCGAAACUGGCAGGCUUGAGUCUUGUAGAGGGGGGUAGAAUUCCAGGUGUAGCGGUGAAAUGCGUAGAGAUCUGGAGGAAUACCGGUGGCGAAGGCGGCCCCCUGGACAAAGACUGACGCUCAGGUGCGAAAGCGUGGGGAGCAAACAGGAUUAGAUACCCUGGUAGUCCACGCCGUAAACGAUGUCUACUUGGAGGUUGUGCCCUUGAGGCGUGGCUUCCGGAGCUAACGCGUUAAGUAGACCGCCUGGGGAGUACGGCCGCAAGGUUAAAACUCAAAUGAAUUGACGGGGGCCCGCACAAGCGGUGGAGCAUGUGGUUUAAUUCGAUGCAACGCGAAGAACCUUACCUGGUCUUGACAUCCACGGAAGUUUUCAGAGAUGGAAUGGUGCCUUCGGGAACCGUGAGACAGGUGCUGCAUGGCUGUCGUCAGCUCGUGUUGUGAAAUGUUGGGUUAAGUCCCGCAACGAGCGCAACCCUUAUCCUUUGUUGCCAGCGAUUAGGUCGGGAACUCAAAGGAGACUGCCAGUGAUAAACUGGAGGAAGGUGGGGAUGACGUCAAGUCAUCAUGGCCCUUACGACCAGGGCUACACACGUGCUACAAUGGCGCAUACAAAGAGAAGCGACCUCGCGAGAGCAAGCGGACCUCAUAAAGUGCGUCGUAGUCCGGAUUGGAGUCUGCAACUCGACUCCAUGAAGUCGGAAUCGCUAGUAAUCGUGGAUCAGAAUGCCACGGUGAAUACGUUCCCGGGCCUUGUACACACCGCCCGUCACACCAUGGGAGUGGGUUGCAAAAGAAGUAGGUAGCUUAACCUUCGGGAGGGCGCUUACCACUUUGUGAUUCAUGACUGGGGUGAAGUCGUAACAAGGUAACCGUAGGGGAACCUGCGGUUG
rnacentral:rRNA from 1 species